GCCGCGGUGGCGGAAUUGGCAGACGCGCCAGAUUCAGGUUCUGGUGACCGAAAGGUCGUGGAGGUUCAACUCCUCUCCGCGGCA
rnacentral:tRNA from 2 species